GACGAACGCUGGCGGCGUGCUUAACACAUGCAAGUCGAGCGACGCUCCUCCUUCGGGAGGAUGACGGAGCGGCGAACGGGUGAGUAACACGUGGGCAACCUGCCCCUAGCUCUGGGAUAAGCCCGGGAAACCGGGUCUAAUACCGGAUAUGAGUUCGGAAGGCAUCUUCUGACCUGGAAAGUUUUUCGGCUAGGGAUGGGCCCGCGGCCUAUCAGCUUGUUGGUGAGGUAACGGCCCACCAAGGCGACGACGGGUAGCCGGCCUGAGAGGGCGACCGGCCACACUGGGACUGAGACACGGCCCAGACUCCUACGGGAGGCAGCAGUGGGGAAUAUUGCACAAUGGGCGAAAGCCUGAUGCAGCGACGCCGCGUGAGGGAUGACUGCCUUCGGGUUGUAAACCUCUUU
rnacentral:rRNA from 1 species